GACGAACGCUGGCGGCGUGCCUAAUACAUGCAAGUCGAGCGGUGAAGGUUGGUACUUGUACCGACUGGGUGAGCAGAGAACGGGUGAGUAACGCGAGGGGCAUCUGCCUGUGAGCGGGGGACAACAUGUGGAAAGGAAUGAUAAUACCACAUAAAAACUUGAAACACAAGGGGGAAGGUUGAAAGAUGCAAGUGCAUCACUCAAAGAUGGUCUAGCGGUGUAUUAGCUAGUUUGUGCGGUAAAGGCGCAACAAGGCGGUGUUACAUAGCCCACGUGAUAGGGUGAGCGGCCGCACUGGGACUGUGACACGCCCCAAUCUCCUUCGGGUGGCAGCCGUACUGAAUCUUCGGCAAUCGGCGAAAGUCUGACCGCGCUACGCCGCGGCAGUGAAGAACGUUGUCGCGUCGUAAAACUCGGUUGUCAGAUUAGAACGUUCGUUCGAGUGUAAAGCUCAUCAAGUGACGGUAACUACCCAGAAAGCAACGGCUAACUACGUG
rnacentral:rRNA from 1 species